rnacentral:sRNA from 1 species
GCCAGGAGUGGUGGCAUAUGCCUGUAAUCCUAUCAGCUUGGGAGGCUGAGGCAGGAGGAUUGCAUGUCCAAAGCCAGCCUCAACAAUAGUUAGGUGAUAGGAACUCAGUAAGACCCUGUCUCUA